GCACUGGUAGUCUAAUGGUUAGGAUAGUGGCCUUCCAAGCCAUUGAUCCGGGUUCGAAUCCCGGCCAGUGCA
rnacentral:tRNA from 3 species